AUUGAACGCUGGCGGCAGGCCUAACACAUGCAAGUCGAACGAUGACUCUCUAGCUUGCUAGAGAAGAUUAGUGGCGGACGGGUGAGUAACAUUUAGGAAUCUGCCUAGUAGUGGGGGAUAGCUCGGGGGAACUCGAAUUAAUACCGCAUACGACCUACGGGUGAGAGGGGGCGCAAGCUCUUGCUAUUAGAUGAGCCUAAAUCAGAUUACCUAGUUGGUGGGGUAAAGGCCUACCAAGGCGACGAUCUGUAACUGGUCUGAGAGGAUGAUCAGUCACACCGGAACUGAGACACGGUCCGGACUCCUACGGGAGGCAGCAGUGGGGAAUAUUGGACAAUGGGGGCAACCCUGAUCCAGCCAUGCCGCGUGUGUGAAGAAGGCCUUUUGGUUGUAAAGCACUUUAAGCAGGGAGGAGAGGCUAAUGGUUAAUACCCAUUAGAUUAGACGUUACCUGCAGAAUAAGCACCGGCUAACUCUGUGCCAGCAGCCGCGGUAAUACAGAGGGUGCGAGCGUUAAUCGGAAUUACUGGGCGUAAAGCGAGUGUAGGUGGCUCAUUAAGUCACAUGUGAAAUCCCCGGGCUUAACCUGGGAACUGCAUGUGAUACUGGUGGUGCUAGAAUAUGUGAGAGGGAAGUAGAAUUCCAGGUGUAGCGGUGAAAUGCGUAGAGAUCUGGAGGAAUACCGAUGGCGAAGGCAGCUUCCUGGCAUAAUAUUGACACUGAGAUUCGAAAGCGUGGGUAGCAAACAGGAUUAGAUACCCUGGUAGUCCACGCCGUAAACGAUGUCUACUAGCCGUUGGGGUCCUUGAGACUUUAGUGGCGCAGUUAACGCGAUAAGUAGACCGCCUGGGGAGUACGGCCGCAAGGUUAAAACUCAAAUGAAUUGACGGGGGCCCGCACAAGCGGUGGAGCAUGUGGUUUAAUUCGAUGCAACGCGAAGAACCUUACCUGGUCUUGACAUAGUGAGAAUCUCUCAGAGAUGAGAGAGUGCCUUCGGGAACUCACAUACAGGUGCUGCAUGGCUGUCGUCAGCUCGUGUCGUGAGAUGUUGGGUUAAGUCCCGCAACGAGCGCAACCCUUUUCCUUAUUUGCCAGCGGGUUAAGCCGGGAACUUUAAGGAUACUGCCAGUGACAAACUGGAGGAAGGCGGGGACGACGUCAAGUCAUCAUGGCCCUUACGACCAGGGCUACACACGUGCUACAAUGGUAGGUACAGAGGGUUGCUACACAGCGAUGUGAUGCUAAUCUCAAAAAGCCUAUCGUAGUCCGGAUUGGAGUCUGCAACUCGACUCCAUGAAGUCGGAAUCGCUAGUAAUCGCGGAUCAGAAUGCCGCGGUGAAUACGUUCCCGGGCCU
rnacentral:rRNA from 1 species